UUAAGUGACGAUAGCCUAGGAGAUACACCUGUACCCAUGCCGAACACAGCAGUUAAGCCCUAGAACGCCUGAAGUAGUUGGGGGUUGCCCCCUGUUAGAUA
rnacentral:rRNA from 1 species